ncrna:unclassified sequences L31-Actinobacteria ribosomal protein leader
UUGGUUCCGGUUCNCCCCGCCGACGUCGUGCCGACGCGUCGGGGACCCGGCGACA